GACGAACGCUGGCGGCGUGCUUAACACAUGCAAGUCGAACGGAAAGGCCCUGCUUUUGUGGGGAGCUCGAGUGGCGAACGGGUGGGUAACAAGUGAGUAAGCUGCCCUUGACUCUGGGAUAACAACAGGAAACUGGGGCUGAUACCAGAUAGGAGCUCCUGCUGCGUGGUGGGGGUUGGAAAGUUUCGGCGGUUGGGGAUGGACUCGCGGCUUAUCAGCUUGUUGGGGGGGUAGUGGCUUACCACGGCUUUGACGGGUAGCCGGCCUGAGAGGGUGACCGGCCACAAUGGGACUGAGAGACGUCCCAGACUCCUACGGGAGGCAGCAGUGGGGAAUAUUGCACAAUGGGCGGAAGCCAGAUGCAGCAACGCCGCGUGCGGGAUGACGUCCUUCGGGUUGUAAACCGCUUUCGCCUGUGACGAAGCGUGAGUGACGGUAAUGGGUAAAGAAGCACCGGCUAACUACGUG
rnacentral:rRNA from 1 species